rnacentral:tRNA from 1 species
GCCUUCGUGGUGUAAUGGUCAGCACACUCGGCAUGUAAUCGAGAGGUCCGAAGGUUCGAGUCCCGGUGAGGGCA